rnacentral:rRNA from 1 species
AUCUGGGCGGCGGUAUUCAGGAUGACGAGCGUGCUGCCGGGUACGCUGGUCGUUUGAUAUUUCCGUCGCCGAUCGAGACGUCGCGACCUGUUCGCGGCCGGUCCUUGCUCGGAGGAGCUGCGUUCGAGUUCGUUGCGUGCCGCGUUUCGGCGUGUCACGCGGUGAAGGCGCGGAUCUCUGGCUGGCCGUCGGACAGUACGCUUAACGGUGUCCGGUGUCGUCGUCUCGUACGCGCGCGCACCGGUACCGGUCAGCGACGAAUUCUUCGGGCCUCUUUCCGACCCGUCUUGAAACACGGACCAAGGAGUCUAACAUGCGCGCGAGUCGCGGGGUGUCGAGCGUACUUCGGUGCGUUCGUUACGUUGCGAAACCCGUACAUGUCGAAGGCGUAAUGAAAGUGAAUGGGGAAGAUGGUGUUCCGAGUACACGUUCCGCGAUCGCUGGUAUCGCGGCCGGACACCCGCAUUCCCGGGGCGUCUCAACGGCCCGUCGCUGAUGCGGACUGUCGUCUCUCGGGGCGGCUAUCGGUCGGCGAUGAACCGA